rnacentral:rRNA from 1 species
CCUACGGGUGGCAGCAGUGAGGAAUAUUGGUCAAUGGGCGCGAGCCUGAACCAGCCAAGUCGCGUGAGGGAAGACGGUCCUAUGGAUUGUAAACCUCUUUUGUCGGGGAGCAAAAGACGCCACGCGUGGCGUUCCGAGAGUACGCGAAGAAAAAGCAUCGGCUAACUCCGUGCCAGCAGCCGCGGUAAUAUGGAGGAUGCGAGCGUUAGCCGGAUUUAUUGGGGUUAAAGUGUGCGCAGGCGGAAGAUCAAGUCAGCGGUAAAAUUGAGAGGCUCAACCUCUUCGAGCCGUUGAAACUGGUUUGCUUGAGUGAGCGAGAGGUAUGCGGAAUGCGUGGUGUAGCGGUGAAAUGCAUAGAGAUGACGCAGAACUCCGAUUGCGAAGGCAGCAUACCGGCGCUCAACUGACGCUCAUGCGCGAAAGUGUGGGUAUCGAACAGGAUUAGAUACCCUAGUAGUC